rnacentral:lncRNA from 1 species
UGCAAAUCAAUAAUUGUACUAAUUAUAAAAAUAAAUUUAAUUUUUAUCUGAAAAAGUAAUAUGAAUGCUAAAUAUUUUAAAAUUCUUUAUAGGAUAUGUUGGAACAUUGCAUCAACAAUUGGAUCAUGCAAAUCAAAAGUCUGGAUUUUCUGAAGAGAAGUACUAUGUUCAGCAGGUAUUGCUGUUUUAUUCAAAUUAUGACUUUUAUUAACAAAGAUAUUGAUUUAUGUCAUUUCAUAGAGUCUUAUUGUCUUAUUUUAAUUAACAAUAUUCUGUUUUUGCUUGCAUGCAUAACCCCCAUUAACAAAAUUUAUCUUGC